rnacentral:rRNA from 1 species
UACGAGGGGGGCGAGCGUUGUUCGGAAUUAUUGGGCGUAAAGGGUGCGUAGGCGGUUUGGUAAGUCUUGUGUGAAAUCUCCAGGCUCAACUUGGAGUCUGCACGAGAAACUGCCGGGCUUGAGUGUGGGAGAGGUGAGUGGAAUUCCUGGUGUAGCGGUGAAAUGCGCAGAUAUCAGAAGGAACACCGGUGGCGAAGGCGGGUCUCUGGGCCGAUACUGACGCUGAGGAGCGAAAGCGUGGGGAGCGAACAGG